rnacentral:rRNA from 1 species
UCUUAAUAGGGCGCUUUAGGCGCUGGGUAUAGCCCCGAACCCGGGCGCUCUAGCCAUGGGCAUGUUGUAGGUUAGGUAACUCUGACUGGAGGACCGAACCGACUACCGCUGAAAAGUUAGCGGAUGACCUGUGGAUCGGAGUGAAAGGCUAAUCAAGCUCGGAGAUAGCUGGUUCUCCUCGAAAGCUAUUUAGGUAGCGCCUCGUGUAUCACUGCUGGGGGUAGAGCACUGUUUCGGCUAGGGGGUCAUCCCGACUUACCAAACCGAUGCAAACUCCGAAUACCAGCAAGUGUCAGCACGGGAGACACACGGCGGGUGCUAACGUCCGUCGUGAAAAGGGAAACAACCCAGACCGUCAGCUAAGGUCCCAAAGUUAUGGUUAAGUGGGAAACGAUGUGGGAAGGCUUAGACAGCUAGGAGGUUGGCUUAGAAGCAGCCACCCUUUAAAGAAAGCGUAAUAGCUCACUAGUCGAGUCGGCCUGCGCGGAAGAUGUAACGGGGCUCAAACCAUACACCGAAGCUACGGGUUCAUCCUUUGGAUGAGCGGUAGAGGAGCGUUCUGUAAGCCUGUGAAGGUGAGUUGAGAAGCUUGCUGGAGGUAUCAGAAG